UCCGAGAUCUAGUCCAGAUGUCCACAAUAAAGAUGAAUUCAUUAAAAAGAGACACUCACUUCCCGGUUCAAAUGGUAGGCAAGGUUCACCUCGUAUCCAGCGGUCUUUGUCUAAUGCACAGCACGGUGCAAAGGGAAACGGAACUCAAUCUCCACAGGAGAGGAAAUGGCAGCGAUGAGUAAAGUUCCUCAGCGGCACAACUAACGGAUGGCAUAUGAUGGAUUGGCGCUUUCUUUGAAUGCUGGUCAUCUGCUCUUAGGAAAUCCAUAGCAAAGCCAUGCCCUGGACUAUUGUUUAUUUGUGAAGAGAAAUGUAGAAAGAGUUAUUUUUCCUGUAAAUUUACUAUUUGCUCAUGCCUACUCAAACCCCCCUUUCUUUUUUCAAGGAUUUUGUUUGAGAUGCUUGUACUUCUUUUUUCCUUUACUUCACAUUUGUGUGUAUCUUUAUAAUAUUGUGUGCUUUUGUGGCUGAUGUAUUUCUGACUGCUAAUGAGAAGUUUGGAAGAGUUGUUUUCAGUUGAA